AUGCAAGUCGAGGGGCAUCAGGAAGAAAGCUUGCUUUCUUUGCUGGCGACCGGCGCACGGGUGAGUAACACGUAUCCAACCUGCCCUUUACUCGGGGAUAGCCUUUCGAAAGAAAGAUUAAUACCCGAUAGCAUAAUGAUUCCGCAUGGUUUCAUUAUUAAAGGAUUCCGGUAAAGGAUGGGGAUGCGUUCCAUUAGGCAGUUGGCGGGGUAACGGCCCACCAAACCAACGAUGGAUAGGGGUUCUGAGAGGAAGGUCCCCACAUUGGGACUGAGAUACGGCCCAGACUCC
rnacentral:rRNA from 1 species